rnacentral:piRNA from 1 species
UGUGAGUCAUGUGAUGGUCCUUGA